rnacentral:rRNA from 1 species
GACGAACGCUGGCGGCGUGCUUAACACAUGCAAGUCGAACGGAAAGGCCCUGCUUGCGUGGUACUCGAGUGGCGAACGGGUGAGUAACACGUGGGUGAUCUGCCCUGCACUUCGGGAUAAGCCUUGUGAACUGGGUCUAAUACCGGAUAGGAGCCAUUUUUAGUGUGGUGGUUGGAAAGUUUUUUCGGUGUAGGAUGAGCUCGCGGCCUAUCAGCUUGUUGGUGGGGGAAUGGCCUACCAAGGCGGCGACGGGUAGCCGGCCUGGGAGGGUGGACGGCCACAUUGGGAAUGAGAUAAGGCCCAGAAUCCUACGGGAGGCAGCAGUGGGGAAUAUUGCACAAUGGGCGCAAGGCUGAUGCAGCGACGCCGCGUGGGGGAUGACGGGCUUCGGGUUGUAAAAUCCUUUCGCUAGGGACGAAGCUGUUUGUGACGGUACCUAGAUAAGAAGCACCGGCUAACUACGUG